AGAGGCUUAGGAUAAUAAUUUAAACCAAAGGCCUUCAAAGCCUUAAAUGAAGGUGAGACUCCUUCAGCCUCUG
rnacentral:tRNA from 1 species